UACGAAGGGUGCAAGCGUUAAUCGGAUUUACUGGGCGUAAAGGGUGCGUAGGCGGUUCGUUAAGUCUGGCGUGAAAUCCCCGGGCUCAACCUGGGAAUGGCGAUGGAUACUGGCGAGCUAGAGUGUGUCAGAGGAUGGUGGAAUUCCCGGUGUAGCGGUGAAAUGCGUAGAGAUCGGGAGGAACAUCAGUGGCGAAGGCGGGCAUCUGGGAAAACACUGACGCUGAAGCACGAAAGCGUGGGGAGCAAACAGG
rnacentral:rRNA from 1 species